AGUAUUUUGACUAUACAAAGGUAUUGUAAUAAGAUUUUAAUUGAAUGCUAAAAGAAUGGAAAUUUAAAAAAAAACUUUUUUAAAAAUAAAAAUUGAAUUUUUUUUAAUUUGUGCAAAAACAAUUAUACUUAUUAAAGACAAGAAGACCCUAAGAAUUUAAGAUUUUACAAUUAAAAAGUUUUUUUUUUUAAAAUCUUGAUUGGGGCGAUCAAAAAAUAUUAAUAACUUUUUAAAAUUUAAAUUGAUCUAUUAUUAAUAAACUAAUGAAUUAAAUACUCUAGGGAUAACAGCGUAAUAAUUUUUGAUAGAUCUUAUUGACAAAAUAGUUUGCGACCUCGAUGUUGGAUUAGGAUUCUUUUUUAAUGAAGAAGUUAAAAAAAGAAGUUUGUUCAACUUUUAAAUUCCU
rnacentral:rRNA from 1 species